UACGUAGGGUGCGAGCGUUAAUCGGAAUUACUGGGCGUAAAGCGUGCGCAGGCGGUUUUGUAAGCCAGAUGUGAAAUCCCCGGGCUUAACCUGGGAAUGGCAUUUGGGACUGCAAGGCUGGAGUGCGGCAGGGGAGACUGGAAUUCCUGGUGUAGCGGUGAAAUGCGCAGAUAUCAGGAGGAACACCGAUGGCGAAGGCAGGUCUCUGGGCCACUACUGACGCUGAGAAGCGAAAGCAUGGGGAGCGAACAGG
rnacentral:rRNA from 1 species